rnacentral:rRNA from 1 species
AACGAACGCUGGCGGCAUGCCUAACACAUGCAAGUCGAACGGUGCCUUCGGGCACAGUGGCGCACGGGUGAGUAACACGUGGGAACCUGCCUUUCGGUUCGGAAUAACGUUUGGAAACGAACGCUAACACCGGAUACGCCCUUCGGGGGAAAGUUUACGCCGAGAGAGGGGCCCGCGUCGGAUUAGGUAGUUGGUGAGGUAACGACUCACCAAGCCGACGACCCGUAGCUGGGCUGAGAGGAUGAUGAGCCACACUGGGACUGAGACACGGCCCAGACUGCUAUGGGAGACAGCAGUGGUGAAUAUUGUACAGUGGGCGCAAGCCUGAUACAGCAAUGCCGCGUGAGUGAUGAAGGCCUUAGGGUUGUAAAGCUCUUUCGCACGCGACGAUGAUGACGGUAGCGUGAGAAGAAGCCCCGGCUAACUUCGUGCCAGCAGCCGCCGUAA